CACCUGAAACACGCUGCUUCUGUGUGUAACAUCAUGGGAAAGUCACAAAGAAAUCAGCUGAAAUAUCAGGAAGAGAACUGUGAACUUGCACAAGUCUGGUUCAUCCUUGGGUGCAAUUUCCAGAUGCCUGAAGGUGCCACAUUCAUCUGUUCAAAAAAUUACAUGCAAGUCUAAACACCAUGGAAAUGUCCAGCCAUCAUACCGGUCAGGAAGGAGAUGGGUUCUGUGUCCCAGAGAUGAACGUGCUCUGGUCCGAAAUGUGCAUAUCGACCCAAGAACAAAAGCAGAAGACCUUCUGAAGAUGUUGGCUGAAGCUGGUUUACCAGGUGUGCAUAUUUGCCCGAGCACAUGCAAAGGUAACAGGAAGAAAUGAGAGCUGAGAGAACAAAUGUUUUUAAUAAAAACUAUCAACUGAACAUGC